rnacentral:sRNA from 1 species
GGCUGCGUGAUGGUUGGGGGCCAUGGAUGGGGACUCCUGCUCCCUGCUCCCAUGGCCCCAACACCCUCCCGGGUCCCAGGUGAUCCACUGGAACUCACCAAAGAAGCUUCGGGUGAAGAACAAGCACGUGGAAUUCUUCCGCAAUUUCUACCUGACCUUCCUGGAGUACGAUGGGAACUUGCUGCGGAGAGAGCUCUUUGUGUGCCCCAGCCAGCCCCCACCUGGUGCUGAGCAGUUGCAGCAGGCCCUGGCACAACUGGACGAGGAAGACCCCUGCUUUGAGUUCCGGCAGCAGCAGCUCACUGUGCACCGUGUGCAUGUCACUUUCCUGCCCCAUGAACCGCCACCCCCCCGGCCUCACGAUGUCACCCUUGUGGCCCAGCUGUCCAUGGACCGGCUGCAGAUGUUGGAAGCCCUGUGCAGGCACUGGCCUGGCCCCAUGAGCCUGGCCUUGUACCUGACAGACGCAGAAGCUCAGCAGUUCCUGCAUUUCGUCGAGGCCUCACCAGUGCUUGCUGCCCGGCAGGACGUGGCCUACCAUGUGGUGUACCGUGAGGGGCCCCUAUACCCCGUCAACCAGCUUCGCAACGUGGCCUUGGCCCAGGCCCUCACGCCUUACGUCUUCCUCAGUGACAUUGACUUCCUGCCUGCCUAUUCUCUCUACGACUACCUCAGGGCCUCCAUUGAGCAGCUGGGGCUGGGCAGCUGGCGCAAGGCAGCACUGGUGGUGCCGGCAUUCGAGACCCUGCGCUACCGCUUCAGCUUCCCCCAUUCCAAGGUGGAGCUGUUGGCCUUGCUGGAUGCGGGCACUCUCUACACCUUCAGGUACCACGAGUGGCCCCGGGGCCACGCACCCACAGACUAUGCCCGCUGGCGGGAGGCUCAGGCCCCGUACCGUGUGCAAUGGGCAGCCGACUAUGAACCCUACGUGGUGGUGCCACGAGACUGUCCCCGCUAUGAUCCUCGCUUUGUGGGCUUCGGCUGGAACAAAGUGGCCCACAUUGUGGAGCUGGAUGCCCAGGAAUAUGAGCUCCUGGUGCUGCCCGAGGCCUUCACCAUCCAUCUGCCCCACGCUCCAAGCCUGGACAUCUCCCGCUUCCGCUCCAGCCCCACCUAUCGUGACUGCCUCCAGGCCCUCAAGGACGAAUUCCACCAGGACUUGUCCCGCCACCAUGGGGCUGCUGCCCUCAAAUACCUCCCAGCCCUGCAGCAGCCCCAGAGCCCUGCCCGAGGCUGAGGCUGGGCCGGCGCUGCCCCUCAUCUUAGCAUUGGGCAGACACCAGGGCAACCUGCCCUCCGCCAUCCCUGCUAUUUAAAUUAUUUAAGGUCUCUGGGAAGGGCUGGGGCAGAGCAUCUGUGGGGUGGGGUCUUCCCCUUGCUGCUAUUGUAUGGCUGGGGACUGGUCUCUCUCUGCCUCAGCCAGUUUGGGGCUGGUUCCCCCAUCUUGAAUUGUUUAUCCCUUUUUCAUAAUUAA